UUUUUACUCCCUCCGUCCAACAAAAGAUGUCUCAAGUUUGUCAAAAUUUGGAUGUAUCUAAACAUGACUUAGUGUAUAGAUGCAUUCAAAUUUAGUCAAAGUUGAGACAUUCUUUUUUGGACGGAGGAGUAUCAU
rfam:Brachypodium distachyon strain Bd21 chromosome 4, whole genome shotgun sequence.